rnacentral:tRNA from 1 species
GGGGCUGUAGCUCAGAUGGGAGAGUAUUUGUUUUGCAAUCAAGAGGUCGCGGGUUCGAAUCCCGCCAGCUCCACUA